rnacentral:rRNA from 1 species
UUAAUGAGAGUUUGAUCCUGGCUCAGGACGAACGCUGGCGGCGUGCCUAAUACAUGCAAGUAGAACGCUGAAGAGAGGAGCUUGCUCUUCUUGGAUGAGUUGCGAACGGGUGAGUAACGCGUAGGUAACCUGCCUUGUAGCG